GUAGUCUGNAACCCGACUACAUGAAGCUGGAAUCGCUGUAAUCGCAGGUCAGCAUACUGCGGUGAAUACGUUCCCGGGUCUUGUACACACCGCCCGUCACACCAUGAGAGUUGGAAAUACCCGAAGCCUGUGAGCUAACAGUAAUGAGGCAGCAGUCGAAGGUAGAGCCAAUGAUUGGGGUGAAGUCGUAACAAGGUACC
rnacentral:rRNA from 1 species